rnacentral:rRNA from 1 species
AGAUUGAACGCUGGCGGCAUGCCUAACACAUGCAAGUCGAACGGGAGUAGCAAUACUCUAGUGGCGGACGGGUGAGGAAUACGUAGGAAUUUGCCCUUAAGUGGGGGAUAACCCGGGGAAACCCGGAUUAAUACCGCAUGACCUCGAAAGAGCAAAGUGGGGGAUCGGCAAGACCUCACGCUUUUGGAGAAGCCUACGUCGGAUUAGCUAGUUGGUGAGGUAAUGGCUCACCAAGGCGACGAUCCGUACUGGUCUGAGAGGAUGAUCAGUCACACCGGAACUGAGACACGGUCCGGACUCCGUACGGGAGGCAGCAGGAGGGGAAUAGUUGGACAAGUGGGCGCGAAGCCUGACUCAGCAAUCGCCGCGUGUGGUAGAACGGAACGGUCCGUU